rnacentral:rRNA from 1 species
AGUGAACGCUGGCGGUAGGCCUAACACAUGCAAGUCGAACGGCAGCACAGUAAGAGCUUGCUCUUACGGGUGGCGAGUGGCGGACGGGUGAGGAAUACAUCGGAAUCUACUUUUUCGUGGGGGAUAACGUAGGGAAACUUACGCUAAUACCGCAUACGACCUACGGGUGAAAGUAGGGGAUCUUCGGACCUUGCGCGAUUGAAUGAGCCGAUGUCGGAUUAGCUAGUUGGCGGGGUGAAGGCCCACCAAGGCGACGAUCCGUAGCUGGUCUGAGAGGAUGAUCAGCCACACUGGAACUGAGACACGGUCCAGACUCCUACGGGAGGCAGCAGUGGGGAAUAUUGGACAAUGGGCGCAAGCCUGAUCCAGCCAUACCGCGUGGGUGAAGAAGGCCUUCGGGUUGUAAAGCCCUUUUGUUGGGAAAGAAAAGCAGCAGGUUAAUACCCCGCUGUUCUGACGGUACCCAAAGAAUAAGCACCGGCUAACUUCGUG